GAUGAACGCUGGCGGCGUGCCUAAUACAUGCAAGUCGAGCGAACGGACGAGAAGCUUGCUUCUCUGACGUUAGCGGCGGACGGGUGAGUAACACGUGGAUAACCUACCUAUAAGACUGGGAUAACUUCGGGAAACCGGAGCUAAUACCGGAUAAUAUUUUGAACCGCAUGGUUCAAAAGUGAAAGACGGUCUUGCUGUCACUUAUAGAUGGAUCCGCGCUGCAUUAGCUAGUUGGUAAGGUAACGGCUUACCAAGGCGACGAUGCAUAGCUGACCUGAGAGGGUGAUCGGCCACACUGGAACUGAGACACGGUCCAGACUCCUACGGGAGGCAGCAGUAGGGAAUCUUCCGCAAUGGGCGAAAGCCUGACGGAGCAACGCCGCGUGAGUGAUGAAGGUCUUCGGAUCGUAAAACUCUGUUAUUAGGGAAGAACAUAUGUGUAAGUAACUGUGCACAUCUUGACGGUACCUAAUCAGAAAGCCACGGCUAACUACGUG
rnacentral:rRNA from 1 species